rnacentral:rRNA from 1 species
GACGAACGCUGGCGGCGUGCCUAAUACAUGCAAGUUGAGCGCUGAAGGUUGGUACUUGUACCAACUGGAUGAGCAGCGAACGGGUGAGUAACGCGUGGGGAAUCUGCCUUUGAGCGGGGGACAACAUUUGGAAACGAAUGCUAAUACCGCAUAAAAACUUUAAACACAAGUUUUAAGUUUGAAAGAUGCAAUUGCAUCACUCAAAGAUGAUCCCGCGUUGUAUUAGCUAGUUGGUGAGGUAAAGGCUCACCAAGGCGAUGAUACAUAGCCGACCUGAGAGGGUGAUCGGCCACAUUGGGACUGAGACACGGCCCAAACUCCUACGGGAGGCAGCAGUAGGGAAUCUUCGGCAAUGGACGAAAGUCUGACCGAGCAACGCCGCGUGAGUGAAGAAGGUUGUCGGAUCGUAAAACUCUGUUGGUAGAGAAGAACGAUGGUGAGAGUGGAAAGCUCAUCAAGUGACGGUAACUACCCAGAAAGGGACGGCUAACUACGUG